rnacentral:lncRNA from 1 species
CUCUAUAUUUAGUUUUUUUUAAGGAAUCUCCAAACUGUUCUCCAUAGUUCCAAACCCCAGUUGUAAGUAAUGUGAGUGAUAUAGAAAUUGCGUUUCUUCUUAAAUCUUACCCUUCAGGGUGUUCCCUUGUGGCGCAGCAUGUUAAGGAUCUGGUGUUGUCGCUGCAGCAGCUCAGGAUGCUCUUGUGGCACAGGUUCAGUCCCUGGCCUGGGAACAUCUAUAUGCUAUGAGAACGGCAAAAAGAAAAAAAAAGGAAAAGAAAUCUUACCAUGUUAAGAUUGAUUUUUGAAAAUGUGAAAAUUCACAUAAAAAUUAGUUUUUCCAUUAAGUCUUUAGCCCAUACCAAAUUCUCAAAAUUUCUUUGCUAUAAGCAGAUGCAAUUGCCCACCUAUUUUGGAAACAAAUUUUCUUCAAUGGUCUUAUGUAUUUUCUGGUUGAAUGUUUUGCUUCCCUGACCAGAUUAUAAACUCUGAGAGUUCGUUUUUUUAUGACCUCUGAGACCCUCAAAGCCUUGCAAAAGAGCAAGCACCAAGCAUUUAAUCCUUUUUUAUUUAAGUGCCUAAGCAGAAGGAACUGACUCAAACUUCAGGAAGUAGCUGUGAGGACAGGGUGGCAGGAAAUGACAGAAAACCUGAAUACGGAACUGAAGCAGCAGCUCAGAAUUUCUUGCUCUGAAGUCGCAGCAGCUAGAGAGGAGCUGAGUGUCGCUGUGAGGAGCUGAGAGCUGAGAGCUGAGAGCAAACGCUUGCACGGUUGAAGUCACUGCUAGUCGGCUUUUCACCUUUUAUGGCCAGAAGUCCAGGGUGUGGGUGGUUGUGGGUAAUGAGCAUCUGGGGAUAGAAGCAGAAGGAGGAGGCUGGAGCUCAGGGAACAGGAUUUAGCAGCCCUCGACCACCCCUGGUUUCUGCUGACAAUUCACGGCCCUCUCUAAGGCCCCUUGCUCCUAGGUACUGAGUUGGGAGGUGAAGACAGUCUGUGCCCUCGGAGGGUGUGUGAGCUAGCAGAGCCAAAACCCACGGGAGACACUGCAACAGAUCCGGAAGUAGUAGUUGCUAAUAUACACCAGUGCUGAGAUCCAAGUGCUAAAUGAAGGCACGGUGGUUCCACGAGGGCAGGUUUCUAUGAAUGUUGGAUCAUAGAAUCCCGGGGUGUCAGAAUGGAGGGGACUUGAUGGAUUCGCAAGGAUAACCUCUUUGUUUCUUUUCCAUUGGGAAAAACAGUAUCAGGGAUGUUCAAUGAUUUACCAAAUUGUUUUCAUUGAUAUUUGUCAUUUGCUUAGGCUGGUACCUGGCAAAUAAGUACAUAAGGUCUCUAUGUUGACUUCCUGGUCUCUUCUGAUUCCCAGUCUGUGUACUUUUCUGAGGCAGCCUCAUGAUGAAGCCUUGACAUCCUGAACUCCAGGCCUCACCACGUUACUCUGGAUUCCACCUCUAGAUAACAUGUAUGGGCUUCCUUAUUUCUGACCAGUAGCUCAAGGAUACUAAAUUGCCUGUGUCAGAAAGCCUGCCCUUUGUUUCAAAAGUACAUGAGGAUGGGAGGCUUAUGGGAGAGUAAGGCUGAGGCCUGAACAGCGGGAAAGAAGCCGGGACCAUUGGUCCUCCCUGCUGCUUCUCAGCCCACGGAUACUUCAAAAACUUCUAUUUUCCAGUUUUCUAUGUGAAGUCCUUUUGUGGCAGAGUGGCCCAAAAGCCAGGACUAGAGGUGUUAGCUUCAUGGUCCCCAUCCAUUGUUGUUACCCCACAGGGGAAGGCAGGGCUACUCUCAGCAAUGACUCAUCCCACUGUCCAGCUGACUUGGUCAGUACUUCCCCAGUGUCCUCUUUGCAUCUCAUUAACCAGUCUACCCUCGAAUUCCUCUUGUUCUGGUUUCCAAGGGGUUUUUCAAAGAGCUGGAGUAGGUUGGAGUUUUCAAGUGGAAUGCAAAUCAGAGAGGCUGAGUGCCUGGCUGGAGAGACAGGAGGGUCCUAGGAGUGGUUGUAAGAGGGGCUCCUUUAAGAGGCAGGAAAGAGUGUGGGGAAGGAGUCUGAGCAGGGAAGGGUGGGCAGGGGGUUGUCAGCUAGCAAGUGUCAGCAGGGUCAAGAAGUCUCACCACCAGAGCAGAUGAGCCUUGUCUCUUCUUUCCACUUCACAUCAAGAGCCAGGAUCCCAUAGAUAUAGAGCACCUGUACAGCUCCUUACACAGGUCUGGUGGGACCAGCAGAAACACUGGGGAUGCCUCAGUGGCACCCCCUCAAACUGGUGUUCUCUAAAUAUAUCUUUAACAUUUAGUUAAUGACAGUGUAAUACUUCUUAAUGUUCAAAACCAGGGACUUAUUAUGUACUCUUUUUGGAGAUAGGUAUCUUUGAAAAUAUACUUAAACUGGGAGUUCCCUCGUGGUUCAGGGGUUAACGAACCUGACUAGUAUCCAAGAGGACGUGGUUCAACCCUGGCCUCACUCAGUGGAUUAAGGAUCCGGCAUUGCCAUGAGCUGUGGUUGGUAGGUCACAGAAGUGGCUCGGAUCUGAUGUUGCUGUGGCUGUGGCAUAGGCCAGCAGCUGUAGCUCUGAUUCCAUCCUGAGCCUGGAAACCUCCCUAUGUCAUGGGUGAG